UCCAGGGUAGCCUAGUGGACAUGGCAUCUGCCUGGUAAGCGGAAGGUCGUGGGUUCGAUAUCGCCCCUGGAC